GAGGGCUUAGUUAGGCCUAGGUGACGGUACUUCUCUUGACUAUCUACCAGUUCGGGAAAACCCUGUAGGUUUUGAAGCCGGACUUAAAGUGUAGUUUCCGCUUGAGGUAGACAGACGUCAUGGAGCAGCUCCCAGGAGCAGUGGUAGGCUAAUUGUAUUUUCUACUGCAGCUCAGGG